rnacentral:rRNA from 1 species
GACGAACGCUGGCGGCGUGCUUAACACAUGCAAGUCGAACGGAAAGGCCCCUUUGGGGGUACUCGAGUGGCGAACGGGUGAGUAACACGUGAGUAACCUGCCCUUGACUUCGGGAUAACUUCAGGAAACUGGGGCUAAUACCGGAUAGGAAUCCUUGCUGCAUGGUGGGGGUUGGAAAGCUUCGGCGGUUUUGGAUGGACUCGCGGCUUAUCAGCUUGUUGGUGGGGUAGUGGCUUACCAAGGCUUUGACGGGUAGCCGGCCUGAGAGGGCGACCGGCCACAUUGGGACUGGGAUACGGCCCCGACUCCUACGGGAGGCAGCAGUGGCGAAGAUUGCACAAUGGGCGGGAGCCUGAUGCAGCAACGCCGCGUGCGGGAUGACGGCCUUCGGGUUGUAAUCCGCUUUCAGCAGGGGCGAAGCUUGUGGUGACGGUACCUGCAGAAGAAGCACCGGCUAACUACGUG